AUUUCUUUUUGGGUUUGGAGCAGAGAGCUCCUGCUCUCUCCCUCUCUGUUCGUCUCUCUCUCUCUCUCUCUCUCUCUCUCUCCAUGUUCACCAUUUUUGCUCAACUUUGAACUUGAAAUGAGAGUCUUUAGAGUGAGAUUUGACAAAAGUAUUGUAAAUGAAAGUCAGAGAGCUCGUCGUGAUCUUCGCAAUGGUGGUCUUGGAUCCAUGAUCGGGCGAUAUUUGCAUUUUCGAAUUUGCUUUUCUUUAUAUUUUAGAUCCUUUUCUAAAGACCUGCCGAAUAUAAGAGACCUAGAUUGUUGGGGAACUGGAGGACAGUGAAUCAUGCCUCCAGUGGUUUAUUAUUAUCUAGGGUCGCUGUCAAUUUGAUAAUUUUUUAAAUUUCUUUUUUUUUUUAUGUUGUUGAUGUAGAUCAAAAGGAUAGUGUUUCUAAGGGGGAAAAAAAUCUGGUUAUGAAUGUUGUAGCCGGUUUAGCAAAAUUGUUAAAAUGUUGCAAAACAAUAUUGCAAAACUUGGGUUCAAUUUAAGUUAUCAUUUUGUAAUUGUGCAAUGCAGAUAAUUGAGUGAGUUCAUUUGAUCUAAGUUAUCAUUUUGUAAUUGUGCAAUGCAGAUGAUUGAGUGAGCUCAUUUGAUCUAAAGCAUUAUGUACAAUGUUCUCCAAAUAAUCUUUCUUUAUUAGCUUUGGUUGGUUCAUUAA